UUAAUGACUCCUACCAGAAUUUGCUGGGGAUACAAGCAUGCUCACUGAAGUGAUAAUGUGAUCUUUCCUUGCCCAAAUUUGUGAUCAAGAAAAUCUAAGACUAUUUUGGAAUGAGGGAAUCUGUGGUAGAAAUAUUCAUUACUUUGUAAUUUUUUUCAAGUUUGUGUUCAGUUCUAGAUAUUUCAUGGAUUUUUUCUAUAAUUAUUUAUUGGAGGAAGACCUUACAUGAUAAACAUGAAUUGAUCCCUCUGAGGAUGUGAAGGUGGAUAGGGUGGUAGCCUGGAGAUACCAGAAGAGGCCUUGUUGGAGAACUAGAAGUUAGUAGUCACAUGGAAACUAGAUUUCAGUGAGAGAAGAUUCUGCAAGACAAAGGCAGGGAUCAAGGCUAGAGGGUCUGGGACAGGAUACAAAGGUAUGCUGUAGUUUAGUCAGUCUUGAGUGGGGCCAGAGACCUUACUUUGAGGUCACAGGUCUGGAUGCAGGAGAUCAUGGAGAAGGUGCAAUUAUAGCUUUGAAAGACCCUAGGAAAGAACUUACCUGGAAAAGAAGGAAGAAUGAGCUCAAAAACACACAACUACAAGGUAAGAGCAGAAAAUCUUUAUGGUGAAAAGUAGAAAUGCU
rnacentral:lncRNA from 1 species